GAUGAACGCUGGCGGCGUGCCUAAUACAUGCAAGUUGAGCGAACAGACGAGGAGCUUGCUCCUCUGACGUUAGCGGCGGACGGGUGAGUAACACGUGGAUAACCUACCUAUAAGACUGGGAUAACUUCGGGAAACCGGAGCUAAUACCGGAUAAUAUAUUGAACCGCAUGGUUCAAUAGUGAAAGACGGUUUUGCUGUCACUUAUAGAUGGAUCCGCGCCGCAUUAGCUAGUUGGUAAGGUAACGGCUUACCAAGGCAACGAUGCGUAGCCGACCUGAGAGGGUGAUCGGCCACACUGGAACUGAGACACGGUCCAGACUCCUACGGGAGGCAGCAGUAGGGAAGCUUCCGCAAUGGGCGAAAGCCUGACGGAGCAACGCCGCGUGAGUGAUGAAGGUCUUCGGAUCGUAAAACUCUGUUAUUAGGGAAGAACAAAUGUGUAAGUAACUAUGCACGUCUUGACGGUACCUAAUCAGAAAGCCACGGCUAACUACGUG
rnacentral:rRNA from 1 species